rnacentral:rRNA from 1 species
GAUGAACGCUGGCGGCGUGCCUAAUACAUGCCAGUCGAGCGAACAGACGAGGAGCUUGCUCCUCUGACGUUAGCGGCGGACGGGUGAGUAACACGUGGAUAACCUACCUAUAAGACUGGGAUAACUUCGGGAAACCGGAGCUAAUACCGGAUAAUAUAUUGAACCGCAUGGUUCAAUAGUGAAAGACGGUUUUGCUGUCACUUAUAGAUGGAUCCGCGCCGCAUUAGCUAGUUGGUAAGGUAACGGCUUACCAAGGCGACGAUGCGUAGCCGACCUGAGAGGGUGAUCGGCCACACUGGAACCGAGACACGGUCCAGACUCCUACGGGAGGCAGCAGUAGGGAAUCUUCCGCAAUGGGCGAAAGCCUGACGGAGCAACGCCGCGUGAGUGAUGAAGGUCUUCGGAUCGUAAAACUCUGUUAUUAGGGAAGAACAAAUGUGUAAGUAACUAUGCACGUCUUGACGGUACCUAAUCAGAAAGCCACGGCUAACUACGUG